GGCCACGUGGUUGCUGGAGCCUGUGAUCUCUGUACAGCACUGCAGUUAUGAAAUGGCCAAUAUGAGAACUGUGAUUUUUGCAUGGGGGCCGAUUUCCUCUUUCAGUCUCCGUAGCCCGGUCACAGUAACAUAU